UGGGGAAUAUUGGACAAUGGGCGAAAGCCUGAUCCAGCCAUGCCGCGUGUGUGAAGAAGGUCUUCGGAUUGUAAAGCACUUCAAGUUGGGAGGAAGGGCAGUAAGCGAAUACCUUGCUGUUUUGACGUUACCGACAGAAUAAGCACCGGCUAACUCUGUGCCAGCAGCCGCGGUAAUACAGAGGGUGCAAGCGUUAAUCGGAAUUACUGGGCGUAAAGCGCGCGUAGGUGGUUCGUUAAGUUGAAUGUGAAAGCCCCGGGCUCAACCUGGGAACUGCAUCCAAAACUGGCGAGCUAGAGUAGGGCAGAGGGUGGUGGAAUUUCCUGUGUAGCGGUGAAAUGCGUAGAUAUAGGAAGGAACACCAGUGGCGAAGGCGACCACCUGGGCUCAUACUGACACUGAGGUGCGAAAGCGUGGGGAGCAAACAGG
rnacentral:rRNA from 1 species